rnacentral:rRNA from 1 species
GACGAACGCUGGCGGUGUGCUUAACACAUGCAAGUCGAACGGUAAGGCCCUUUCGGGGGUCCACGGGUGGCGAACGGGUGAGUAACACGUGAGUAACCUGCCCUCAUCUCUGGGAUAACAGUCGGAAACGGUUGCUAAUACUGGAUAUGAGCUUGCAAGGCAUCUUGUGGGUUGGAAAGAUUUUUUUUGGUUGGGGAUGGACUCGCGGCCUAUCAGCUUGUUGGUGAGGUAGUGGCUCACCAAGGCUUCGACGGGUAGCCGGCCUGAGAGGGCGACCGGCCACAUUGGGACUGAGAUACGGCCCAAACUCCUACGGGAGGCAGCAGUGGGGAAUAUUGCACAAUGGACGGAAGUCUGAUGCAGCAACGCCGCGUGCGGGAUGACGGCCUUCGGGUUGUAAACCGCUUUCAAUUGUGACGAAGCUUUUUUGUGACGGUAGCAGUAGAAGAAGCACCGGCUAACUACGUG